rnacentral:rRNA from 1 species
GAUCAUGGCUCAGAUUGAACGCUGGCGGCAGGCUUAACACAUGCAAGUCGAACGAUGAUUCUCUAGCUUGCUAGAGAUGAUUAGUGGCGAACGGGUGAGUAACAUUUAGGAAUCUACCUUUUAGCGGGGAUAGCUCGGGGAAACUCGAAUUAAUACCGCAUACGACCUACGGGUGAAAGGGGGCGCAAGCUCUUGCUAGGAGAUGAGCCUAAAUCAGAUUAGCUAGUUGGUAGGGUAAA